rnacentral:misc_RNA from 1 species
UUUCCGUAGGUGAACCUGCGGAAGGAUCAUUGUCGAAACCUGCCCAGCAGAACGACCCGCGAACUUGUAUAAACAACCGGGGGCGGGGGGCGUUCUCGCCCCGUGCCCCCGAACGGCGGGGAGACACUCGUGCCUUCUUGCCGAACAACGAACCCCGGCGCGGUCCGCGCCAAGGAACUUCAACUAAAGAGUGCCUCCGGUCGCCUCGGAAACGGCGUGCGUGCCGGGGGCGAAGCUUGUGCAAAACCAUAACGACUCUCGGCAACGGAUAUCUCAGCUCUC